rnacentral:tRNA from 2 species
UGUGGCAGAAUAGUGCAAUAAAUUUAAGCUUUAUUAAUAAAGUCAAUCUUUCUUUAGA